UACGGAGGGUGCUAGCGUUGUUCGGAAUUACUGGGCGUAAAGCGCGUGUAGGCGGCCGAUUAAGUCUGGUGUGAAAGCCCGGGGCUCACCCCCGGAAGUGCGCUGGAAACGUGGUCGGCUAGAGUAUGGGAGAGGAAAGUGGAAUCCCGGUGUAGCGGUGAAUGCGUAGAUAAUCGGGAGGAACACCAGCGGCGAAGGCGGCUUUCUGGACCAAGUACUGACGCUGAGACGCGAAAGCGUGGGAGCAAACAGG
rnacentral:rRNA from 1 species